rnacentral:rRNA from 1 species
AGCGAACGCUGGCGGUAGGCCUAACACAUGCAAGUCGAACGGCAGCACAGUAAGAGCUUGCUCUUACGGGUGGCGAGUGGCGGACGGGUGAGGAAUACAUCGGAAUCUACUUUUUCGUGGGGGAUAACGUAGGGAAACUUACGCUAAUACCGCAUACGACCUACGGGUGAAAGCAGGGGAUCUUCGGACCUUGCGCGAUUGAAUGAGCCGAUGUCGGAUUAGCUAGUUGGCGGGGUAAAGGCCCACCAAGGCGACGAUCCGUAGCUGGUCUGAGAGGAUGAUCAGCCACACUGGAACUGAGACACGGUCCAGACUCCUACGGGAGGCAGCAGUGGGGAAUAUUGGACAAUGGGCGCAAGCCUGAUCCAGCCAUACCGCGUGGGUGAAGAAGGCCUUCGGGUUGUAAAGCCCUUUUGUUGGGAAAGAAAAGCAGCAGGUUAAUACCCCGCUGUUCUGACGGUACCCAAAGAAUAAGCACCGGCUAGCUUCGUG